rnacentral:rRNA from 1 species
UAUUAAAACUUUCAACAACGGAUCUCUUGGCUCUAGCAUCGAUGAAGAACGCAGCGAAAUGCGAUAAGUAAUGUGAAUUGCAGAAUUCAGUGAAUCAUCGAAUCUUUGAACGCACAUUGCGCCCAGCAGUACUCUGCUGGGCAUGCCUGUCCGAGCGUCAUUUCACCACUCAAGCUCUGCUUGU